rnacentral:rRNA from 1 species
AGAAUCAACGCUGGCGGCGUGCCUCAGACAUGCAAGUCGAACGCGAAAGUCCCCUUCGGGGGACAAGUAGAGUGGCGCACGGGUGAGUAACACGUAGGUAAUCUACCUUCGGAUGGGGAAUAACAACCGGAAACGGUUGCUAAUACCGCAUAAUGCAGCGGCACCUAAUGGUGACAGUUGUUAAAGCGGGGAUCGAAAGACCUCGCGUCUGAAGAGGAGCCUGCGGCGGAUUAGCUAGUUGGUAAGGUAAUGGCUUACCAAGGCUACGAUCC